rnacentral:rRNA from 1 species
AGCGAACGCUGGCGGCAGGCCUAACACAUGCCAGUCGAACGAACCUUUCGGGGUUAGUGGCGGACGGGUGAGUAACACGUGGGAACGUGCCUUUAGGUUCGGAAUAACUCAGGGAAACUUGUGCUAAUACCGAAUGUGCCCUUCGGGGGAAAGAUUAAUCGCCUUUAGAGCGGCCCGCGUCUGAUUAGCUAGUUGGUUGAGGUAAUGGCUCACCAAGGCGACGAUCAGUAGCUGGUCUGAGAGGAUGAUCAGCCACAUUGGGACUGAGACACGGCCCAAACUCCUACGGGAGGCAGCAGUGGGGAAUCUUGCGCAAUGGGCGAAAGCAUGACGCAGCCAUGCCGCGUGAAUGAUGAAGGUCUUAGGAUUGUAAAAUUCUUUCAACGGGGACGAUAAUGACGGUACCCGGAGAAGAAGCCCCGGCUAACUUCGUG